rfam:Salmo salar isolate Sally breed double haploid chromosome ssa10, whole genome shotgun sequence.
UAAACUCACUACUGUAAGUCGCUCUGUAUAAUAGCGUCUGCUAAAUUACUAAAA